CAAAAUCUACCAAAAUGUAAAAUGGAUAGUGUGAUUGUGCUCCGACGAGAUUCCAACCGGUCGAGCUUUCCGACGAUCUACAAAACAAAGAAAAAAAACUACAUAAGCAGCUAGUGCUUUGUAAGCUCGUAUAAAGGAAACUUAAACUUUCCAAACAUAUUGUGUUUAAAACAACCAAGCAUAACACCACUUCACAAAGUUAGUAGGUAUAUAAAUGAGCAUAUAAAUUCCAGCCAACUCAUGGAACAUAUCACAAUAUGCAUUCAAUAUAUAUUUCAUCCAUCAUGUAUUUAAAUAAUACCCUUUUCAUUUCAAGUACAUAAAUCAACAUUUUCUAUUUCAUAUUUUAAUAACAUAGACCAUUUCAUAUACAUACAUAUUUAGAUUAAACUUUAAUCAGUUGUCGAACCAAAUGGAAUAUCAUCGGAUACUCGGAAAUGCUCACAUGAGCUGUGACUGUAACAUGUAACCGUAUAUACUAACACAAGCUGUGAAAUGGGUCUGCUCACACGAGCUGUGGGUCAUGAUGUUAAGCUACACGAUGCUGCUCACACAAAGUUAUGGAGAAUCCACAACAAAUGCAGGACCUCAGCCAUCGAUAGGACAUCCAAGACUAACACCAAAAACCGUAUAACCCCUAAUGACAUGUCAUUCGUAUCCUAAGUAUUCACAAGGUUCUAACAGGACCAUUGUAUCCAAUUCUUUUAUUUACAUUACAUUAUGCUAUUCCAAAUAUGCUUCCAUGAAAUAUACAUUUUCAAAUAUAACAUCCAAUUUAAUUAACAUCAUAAUUUGAUCCAAUAUCAAAAAAUCGUACAACUAACAAUCUAAAUUAUACAUAGCAUAAUAUUUAUUAACAUUACAUUCAAAACAUUAAUUAAUAAGUUUAAUACUUAUACGAACUUACCUCGACUAAAAUGAUUGCAAAAACAAAGUCAACAGCUAGUCUGAAACUUUAGUUUUUCCUCGAUUUAAAUUCGAUUGGUUCAUUUCUUGAACUAGAUAACAAUUUUCAUUCAAUUAAAACAUUCCAGCACUUAAAUAAACAUUUUCAUACAAUUAAGCCCUUUCAUCAUCAUUUUACAAAAUUACCCCAACAUUUUACCUUUUAUGCAAUUUAGUCCCUAAACUCGAAACUUGCAAAUUUACCAUUUUUAGCCACUAACCACGCUAGCCAAAUUCUAAGGGUUUCUAAACAGCCCAUAUUUUUUUUUUCAUUUCAUAAAAUCUACCUGAACUUUUACUAUUUUUAUAAAUAAGUCCCUAAACCUUAAAAUUACCAAAAAUUACUAAACAAAAUACUUAUAUAUAACUACCAACCUUACUAACCCAUCAAAUAAGUUCAAAGGUAUACCCAAUUCAUUAAUGGUAAGUCCCUAUAAUUUUAAUAAUUUUACAAAUUGACCCCCAGGUUAGUAGAUUAAACUAAAACGAUAACAAAAACAUAACAAUCAUUAAAAAACAGGAUCAAAAUCACUCACAUGCAUACAAAAGUGGCUUUGUCAAAUGCUUCUCAUUAUUGGCUAUGGCUUUUCGACUUUCAAAACUAUAGUUCACUUCAUCGCUUAUCACACAACGGAUGAUGCUGCAUACGUAGUUGACUUGUUCUUCAAAGAGGUUACAUGGUAUACCUCACACCAUUUUCUUUGAUCGAGACUCCUAAGUCACUUUUCGAAAGUAUUAUGGGGUAAGCUUGGAACUAAAUUACUUUAUUCUACUACUUGCCACCCUCAAACCGAUGGCCAAACUGAGGUGGUCAAUCGAGUCUUAGGUGCUUUACUUAGAGCAAUUGUGGGUAAGAAUCUUAAAAAUUAGGAGGAGUGUUUACCAUUUUUUGAGUUUUCUUAUAAUAGAUCUAUUCAUUCUACUACCGGUUACUCCCCUUUUGAAAUUGUUUAUGGUUUUAACCCACUUACUAUAUACUUGAUUUUGUGCAUUUGCUCAUUGAUGAGGUUUCUAACUUAGAUGGAGAAAAGAAAGCGGAUUUGGUAAGAAUUAUCCAUGAGAAAGUGAAACAACUAAUUGAAAAGAAAAAUUUUACCAAUGCUACCAAAGCUAAUAAGGGGUGCAAGCAAGUUGUGUUUAAACCUGGUGAUUGGGUUUGGUUCCAUAUGUGAAAAUAAAUGUUUCCAAGUAAGCGAAGGACUAAGUUAGACCCACGAGGAGAUGGACCUUUCCAAGUGCUCAAACAUAUCAUUGACAAUUCAUAUCACAUUGAUCUGCCCGGUGAGUAUACUGUUAGUUUUUUUUUAAUGUGGCUGAUCUCUCUCCCUUUGAUGCUUCAAAUUCGAGGAUGAAUCCUAUUGAGGAAAGGGGGAAUGAUGUGAACAUCAAGGUCCAACCAAGGGAGCAUGGACAUGAUGGGCUAACUUUACCUCAUGGUCCUAUUACAAGAUCUAAAGCUAAGCAAAUCAAGUUCGGAUUAAAUGUAGUAGUCUAAGAGUUUGUGAUGAAGACCGUACAAGCUUAUUCAAAGGAAAAAAGAGAUCAAGAUUCACUUUAUUGGCCUAAUUCCUUUAUAUAUGAAGAUCCAAGAGUUCAAAGAAAACAAGAUUUUGAAUCUUGGUCUAAGAAACAACAUUUUGGAGUUGGAACGAAAUGGAUCACACUAGCAAGCUUAAACAAGCCCAAUUUUGGAAUGAACAGAUCCAGCAUACAAAAUCAGCCCAUGGGGACAUCCAUAAGCACAUAUUGAAGUUUCAACUAGAGUCUAUUUGGAUUACUUUAGGACUUAGUUUAUUUUCUAGUUUUAGUUUGGCCCAAUCUGUUAAUGGCCCAAUUAAUAAACUUAGUCAAGUCAAGUUGUCUUCCACGAUUUUUGGGAAUUGUUUGGCUAAAUUGUAGGCAUUUAUCUUCCACAAUUUUACAAAUUUGUUUCUCUUUUAUCCAACCUCUUUGUAGUAUAAAAAUGAGUGAUAUCCACCAUAUUUAGUACACAUUAUGAGUUUUUGAUUGAUAAAGAAAAUACUCUUUGAGUUUCUUUUUGCAAGAUUUGUUUCUUGUCUGUUUUAGAAGUUGUUCGACACAAUCUUCUUAGAUUGUUGGGGAUUGUCUUCAAGCUUUAACUUGCCAACAGCUCUUUCUUGGUGAGAGGAGAUUAAAACUAAUUGAAGAGAGUUGUUGGAUAUCUUGUUACAAAUACUUCUUAGGGCACUCCAUCUUUCAUUUUCAAUAUCGUCCACCCAUUAUCUUUUCAUCUCUUCUUUAGUUUUACUUGUUUAUUUUAUUUAUUUACUUUCUUGAAUCUAAUCACUUCAAGUUCUUAUUUUCCAGGUUCAAGAAUCCAAAAAUCCAUUUGGUUUGUACUUUCUUUGGCUCCAAGAACAUUAAAGUCAAUCAAAUUAGGAGUUUUUCUCCAAACCAAAUUUGUUUCUUUUUUCUUUUCUUUAUUUCAAUCAUUUUUUAUCAUUUUCAUUAUUUUUCUUCUAAUAAUGUUGCUUGUUAUGUUCAGGUAUUAAGGCUAUAAUUUUUCAUUCAAGUUGGUCUAGUGCCUUAAGUCAAAUACGCGACUUUAAAGCUUUUCGAUCCUAAUCCACUGUCCGUAUUAAUUUAUUUUCUCCAUCUUGUACUCUUCGUUGGUUUGCCGCAUUAGUGAAGUUUUCUUUGCCCAUGGUUUUUAUCCUCUUCGUUGGAGUUUUCCAUGUACAAUUUGUGUUCAAUCUUCUCUACCUUUUCUAUUUCAUUUUUAUAUGGUUCGAUCCCCAACACGUAUGUUCUCAUUUUGUAAUAAGACUUUAGGAAGGGUCUAAUAUAAAUUUUGAGAUUUGGUUUAUUUUUUUCAUUUAUCUUAGCCCUAGAUAAUAAUAUUAAGUGAUUUUAAAAUGUUUUUAAACCUUUUCAACUAUCAAAAUUUUAUUAAUGAAAGUAUAUUAUAUGGACAAAUAUUGAUUCUUAAUAGAGUGACAUUUGGUUAAAGUGAUCAUUUUUUUUAAUGUGACAUCACCUAUCUAUACAGAUCAUUGGGAUGGGUACCAAGUGUUACAUAAAAACCCAGUUUGGUAUGCCUGUCCAGAUUAUGCAAAGUGGUAAUGCUAAAUAAUACUUCUCUAACCAUUUUUAGGCUUUCAUGACCCAAAAUGAGAUUCUUCAUUAAUCUUCUUGCGUUGACACAUCAACACAAAAUGAAGCCGCUAAACAAUAGAACAUACAUCUUCUUGAGAUAGCAAAAGCUCUUUUCUUUAGAUAAAAGUUUCUAAAUAGUUCUAGGUUGAUGUUGUUUUGACAACUUUUUUUCUAAUCAAUCACACGUCUUCUUCCGUACUAAAUGGUGAUAACCCAUGCAAUAUUGUGUUCCAUCCAAGCCAUUAUUCUAGUACAAUCAAGGAUUUUUAGAAGUACGUAUUUUUUUCGGGAUGUUUGACCUCAUGUCACUAAAUUGGAUCCAAAGUCUUUGAAGUGUGUGUGUUUUUGGUAUUAUCACCUUUAAAGGGGUACAAGUGUUACAAUCCUAAUUUCAAUAGGUAUUUGGUGUCUACUAAUGUCUUUUCAGAACUUGUACCUUUCGUUUUAGAAACAACAUCUCCAAUGGCUUUAAGAUAAGGGGAGGAUGAUUAGUGGUUAAUAUAGCCUAUCACAUAUCCAAACUCUUCAAUUCAUCAGCCACAGAAUCUUGAUCCUCUAACAAAUACUUUUGUUUUUUUAUCCAAUGACUCUUAUUUCAACAAAGUUUCCAAUUACUCAAGUUCAUUCUAGAUGAAGGGAAACCCAUGAUACAUGUCUUAUACCAAAUUCUUUAUUAUCAAAUUUGACCCCAAGUGAUCUUGAAAUUUUCAUUGCUCUACAAAAAGGUAAACGCCAAUAUACUCAUCCUCUUUUCAAUUUUGUUUUAUAUAACCAUGGUUUCCUUAAUCUCGCUCCUUAAUUACGUCUCUAAAUUCUAUUUCUAUUCUUAAAACCAUUAGAAAGGCCUUGAGAUGAGUUGGCAUGAUGUGAGGAUAGAGGAAAUACAAAAAUUACAUGAAAAUAACACUUGGACUUGAUGGAUUUACUUGUUGGGAAAAAAGUUGUUGGAUAUAAAUAGGUAUUGACGGUUAAGUUUAACCUAGAUGGCUCAAUAGCUUGACUUAAAGCUCAACUUGUUGUGCAAGGUCAUACACAAACCUAUGUUCUGGAUUAUUCAAAAGCAUUCUCUCAUGUAACCAAACUAUCUUACGUUUAUAUAUUUAUUUCAUUAAUUGCUUCCUAGAGUUGGCCUCUACACCAAUUAGAUAUCAAGAUUUCUUUCUUUAUGUUGAUAUCAAGGAAGAAAUCUAUAUGGAGAAACUAUCCAAGUUUAUUACUCAUGGGGAAAAUGGAAAGGUUUUUCAUUUGAAGAAAAAUCUAUGUAUUGGUUGAAGUAGAGUUUGCAUGCAUGGUUUGGCAAGUUCAGCAAGAUCGUUCAAGUGUUUGGACGAAAAAAGCAUCUAUGACCACUCAGUUUUCUACAGACAAUCAGAAACUAGAAUAAUUCUCCUUAUAGUGUAUGUAGAUUUUGUUAUUACUGAAGAUGAUGAUGUGGGAAUCACCAUUCUCAAGUCUUUGUUGCACUUCAGAUUUAGCAGGAAAGACUUAUGACAAUUGAAGUACUUCUUAGGAAUAAAGUUAAUAAAGAGCUAUAAGAUGUUUUUAUCUCUUAAAAGAAGUACGUCUUGCUCUGCUUGCAGAGAUGGGAAUGCUAGCAACAAAACCUUGUAGUACUCUAAUUAUCCCUUUGUUGAUCAAGGGAUGUAUAAGAGGAUAGUUGGGAAGUUAAAUUAUCAUCUCACUGUGACUAGUCUAAACAUUUCAUUUGCAAUAAGUAUUGCUAGCCAAUUCAUGCCUACACCUACAAUUAAAUAUUACGUACUAUGUUAGCUCUUAAAUAUGGCAUAUUAUAUAGUAAUCACGGACAUACUCACAUUGAGUGUUUUGCUAUGAAAAUUGAGUGGGAUCUAAAAGUGAUAGAAGAUCUACUACUAGAUCUUGCAUUUUUUUGUUAGCAGAAAUUUAAUUUCAUGGAGGAGCAAGAAGCAGAAUGUUGUAUCUUAGUCAAAUGUAGAAUCAAAGAACAAAGCAAUACUCAGCUUAUGUGUGAGAUCAUGUUGGUACAACAUCUGCUAGCUAAAAUUAGGCUAGAGCAUCCAUCACCAACAAAACUUUGGAGCAAUAAUCAAGUCAUUCUUAACAUCACUUCGAGUCCAGCCUACCAUAAAAGAACCAAACACAUUGAAGUUGAUUGUCACUUCAUUCAUAAAAAGAUUCUAGACCACUCAUUACCCACUGGCUAUGUGAAUAUAGGAGAAUAACUUGCAAAUUUGUUCACAAAAGCAUUGAAUGACAAUCAAGUUGACUAUCUUUGUCACAAGCUAGGGAUGAUCAAAAUUUAUGCUACAACUUGAAAGGAAGUGUUAGAGAAUAUAAAAUCUAAUUCUUAGGCAUAAAUUAUGUACAUGAAACCAGGAUUAAUUCUACGGUAGAAUUUGAUUUGAUUUGAUUUUAUUUCUUUCCUCCUUUGGACUUUGUAAAUAUGUAUAUAUAUAUGGGCUUUCCAUAAAGAUGAAUAUACUACAAUUUUUUUUCUACAUCUUUUCAAUUUCACUAUUUUUAUAAUAAUUUUUUCUUUGGCCUAUUAUAUCAAUAAUAUAAGUACAUUCGAUUCAUAUAUUAAGCUUAUAACCAAGCUUUCACAAAACCUUUAACCCAUUUUUGACUAAAUUAAUUUCUGUGGUAGAUGGAUUAAACAAAUUAAUUCAAUUUUAAUCAAAAUUUGCACUCCACUAUUAAUUUUAAUUAGUUGAAUAAUUUAUUUUAAUUUAUCAAAAUUAAUUUGGAUUUUUUAAUUAAUUAGUUAUUUAAAUGAUUAGAUUUGGUUUGUAAUCCAAAUCAAGAGAGAAAGCUUGAAAAACUUGGGCAAAGAAUUGCCCUAUCACCCUAGCCCAACUCGACAAGCGAGGGGUAGAUUAGGGGUUUCCUCCCCCCAAGGAAGCCGUCAGUCACUCUUUUAUUGUAUAGUUGUACUAUAAUUCUUCCAGUUUUAUUAAUUUAUAACUCUAACUUGAAUUUUUUUUUCUCUAUAAAUAUACAAGCAAGCCAAAAUUUUCAUAUGCACAAAUACUAGGGGCGUCAAGGGAGGCCUCAAAAAAGUGAUGAAGCUCUUGCAUAUGACGAAGUCAAAGGAUGCCGAAUGGAACUUCUACUUAAAUAGGCCUUUUGCCCAAAAGAGUUGAAACCUAGUACCCCUUUAAGCCUCUUAAGGAAAUUAUGAUGGGAGAAAAGACCCAAUGGACCACCUAGUCCAAUACAAUAGUUACAUGCACAUCUUGGUCACGAAAAAUGACCUGAAAUGCAAAAUGUUCUCCAUGAACUCGAGACUAUGCUAGGAUAUGAAAUUCCACAUUACCAGCAGGGUCAAUGUAUGAUUUUAGAGAGCUAACAUGCAAAUUUAUGAGCAUUUUUCAAUAAACAAAGUGGGUGAGAUAGAAAGAUAAAGAGAGCUUGAAAGUUUACAGUCAUCGUUAACACAGCCAAUGUUGGCAUCGAAGGCCUAAAGACGAGUAGGUCAUCCAAGCUUUUAUAGCAAAGGUAGAUGAUGAACAUUUGAAGUAUGCUUUGACGAAACACAAAAUAGAAAAGCUAUAUCAGCUCUAUGAAAAGGUGCAUCGAUAUGCGAAAACGAAAAAUAAAUUGAUAAUAGAAAGAGAUUCUAUGGUAAAAUGGAAGGAGGGAUUAAGGAGAGAUUACCACCCAUAUGAACAGGGGUUUAGAGGUAAACACGAGGAGACAACCAUUUAAGCUUUAUCCCCCACCUCAAUUGACUUUCCAAGGGCAAAGUGACAAGAUUUGUAGAAGG
rnacentral:lncRNA from 1 species